UCUGAUUCUUUGGCUACAGUGACGCUAGUUGAAUCGGUGCCGCCCUCUACUCAUCUUUAUGCUUCAUUGAUUUGGGAUAUCAAGGAUCUUCUGGGCCGAGCUUGGACGGUGAACCUUCAUCAUACUUUGAGGGAAGGUAAUGCUUGUGCGGAUUUCUUGGCGAAGCACGAAGCUAGCCAAGGGGAUGCGUUGGUUGUGAUUGAGGAUCCGAUUCCAGGAUUGAGUUUGCUUCUUCUUGCGGAUGCGUCGGGUUUCUCCUCUUUGAGGAUGUAGUCUCUUUUUUUGUUCAUCUCAUGUACCAAAAAAAAAAA
rnacentral:lncRNA from 1 species